GACGAACGCUGGCGGCGUGCUUAACACAUGCAAGUCGAACGGAAAGGCCCUGCUUUUGUGGGGUGCUCGAGUGGCGAACGGGUGAGUAACACGUGAGUAACCUGCCCUUGACUUUGGGAUAACUUCAGGAAACUGGGGCUAAUACCGGAUAGGAGCUCCUGCUGCAUGGUGGGGGUUGGAAAGUUUCGGCGGUGGGGGAUGGACUCGCGGCUUAUCAGCUUGUUGGUGGGGUAGUGGCUUACCAAGGCUUUGACGGGUAGCCGGCCUGAGAGGGUGACCGGCCACAUUGGGACUGCGAUACGCCCCAGACUCCUACGGGCGGCAGCAGUGGGGAAUAUUGCACAGUGGGCGGAAGCCUGAUGCAGCAACGCCGCGUGCGGGAUGACGGCCUUCGGGUUGUAAACCGCUUUCGCCUGUGACGAAGCGUGAGUGACGGUAAUGGGUAAAGAAGCACCGGCUAACUACGUG
rnacentral:rRNA from 1 species